rnacentral:rRNA from 1 species
UACGUAGGGGGCAAGCGUUGUCCGGAUUUAUUGGGCGUAAAGAGCGUGUUGGCGGCUUUACAGGUCCGUUGUGAAAACUCGAGGCUCAACCUCGAGACGCCGGUGGAAACCGUAAGGCUAGAGUCCGGAAGAGGAGAGUGGAAUUCCCGGUGUAGCGGUGAAAUGCGCAGAUAUCGGGAAGAACACCCGUGGCUAAGGCGGCUCUCUAGUACGGUACUGACGCUGAGACGCGAAAGCGUGGGGAGCGAACAGG